UACGUAGGGUGCAGGCGUUAAUCGGAAUUACUGGGCGUAAAGCGUGCGCAGGCGGUUUGCUAAGACAGGUGUGAAAUCCCCCGGGCUUAACCUGGGAACUGCGCUUGUUACUGGCAAGCUGGAGUGUGGCAGAGGGGGGUGGAAUUCCACGUGUAGCAGUGAAAUGCGUAGAGAUGUGGAGGAACACCGAUGGCGAAGGCAGCCCCCUGGGCUAACACUGACGCCUCAUGCACGAAGCGUGGGGAGC
rnacentral:rRNA from 1 species